UGUCUGGGAAACUGCCUGAUGGAGGGGGAUAACUACUGGAAACGGUAGCUAAUACCGCAUAACGUCGCAAGACCAAAGAGGGGGACCUUCGGGCCUCUUGCCAUCAGAUGUGCCCAGAUGGGAUUAGCUAGUAGGUGGGGUAACGGCUCACCUAGGCGACGAUCCCUAGCUGGUCUGAGAGGAUGACCAGCCACACUGGAACUGAGACACGGUCCAGG
rnacentral:rRNA from 1 species